GCCAUUAACGCGCCUGUAUAUGUCGUUAACAGCUACUUAUUUGCCCCAGUAUCUGUGCGCUAGAGAUGUCGACGAUACACGUAAUACUCAUCGUCGACAUCUCUAACGCACAGAUACUGGCGCACUAUCCGAGUUAUUAUUUGCUUAUGCUACUCUCUAUUUGUUCUUGCCGUUGGUCGGUGUCAGUAAAUGAUUGCCAAAGGGAAUUGUUGAAUCGUAUUAAAUAGCUUCUGCAUUUCGCUGAGCCAACGUUUUUUGGGGAUAUGCUACCUGUGGCUUUGUGGUACGUUGGCAGCAGUUUUACUUAUACUCUGCUUUUCCUGGCCACAGUAAUAACCUACAGCGUGGUGAUAUAAAAUGUAUUAUAGCCCUGUAAUUGUAUGGAUAUUAACAUGUAGCCUUUCAGCGUACCCUGGACAUUUUGUAUAAUAUAAUAGUAAACACGGGAUAUCUCAUAGUGUCGGUUUAUAGAUAGAGAAGUAGGUUGCAGAUCUGCAGACAGCAUUUCGCAGAGGCAGACUUCGCGAUGAAGGACAUUUCGAGGGUUAUGGUGUAGGGGUUACCGACCGACCAUCAUCAAAAGCGACUGAACGAAGGAGGCCACGCGAGUCAAUGCAAUGGAGCCCCAGAGGAUGACAUUUUCAUCCCUGAAAAUGUUUUCAUCCUGGAGGAGGAGACUGUGCAGGAGGCAGGUUCGGUACUGUUUGAAGACUUUGAGGGAACAGAUGGUCGCCAGACAAAAUAAUAACAACAAUAAGAUUAUGCUAACGCCCCACUGUAAGAACCUGGAGAUUUUCACUGGUUCUGAGGGAGGUGACGUGGCCACAAACAGUGCAUGGGACACCUUCCAGCACUACCUCUGUCUAGAGAACAGCCAGAGAGGGUGGUCAAGACAUCUGCCGUAACUUCAUCUUUAGUGUGUCAGCUCUGCUGUACCUGGGAGCUAAAGAUGGCUCUGGCUUGCUGAUGUCAUCUGAUCUGAUGAGAUUCCUUAUGGGAUUUGACUCCUGUAUCACUCAAAUCAAAUUUAUUUAUAUAGCCCUUCGUACAUCAGCUGAUAUCUCAAAGUGCUGUACAGAAACCCAGCCUAAAACCCCAAACAGCAAGCAAUGCAGGUGUAGAAGCACGGUGGCUAGGAAAAACUCCCUAGAAAGGCCAAAACCUAGGAAGAAACCUAGAGAGGAACCAGGCUAUGUGGGGUGGCCAGUCCUCUUCUGGCUGUGCCGGGUGGAGAUUAUAACAGAACAUGGCCAAGAUGUUCAAAUGUUCAUAAAUGACCAGCAUGGUCGAAUAAUAAUAAGGCAGAACAGUUGAAACUGGAGCAGCAGCACAGUCAGGUGGAAGUUGAAACUGGAGCAGCAGCAUGGCCAGGUGGACUGGGGACAGCAAGGAGUCAUCAUGUCAGGUAGUCCUGGGGCAUGGUCCUAGGGCUCAGGUCAGUUGAAACUGGAACAGCAGCAUGGCCAGGUGGACUGGGGACAGCAAGGAGUCAUCAUGUCAGGUAGUCCUGGGGCAUGGUCCUAGGGCUCAGGUCCUUCGAGAGAGAGAAAGAAAGAGAAGGAGAGAAUUAGAGAACGCACACUUAGAUUCACACAGGACACCGAAUAGGACAGGAGAAGUACUCCAGAUAUAACAAACUGACCCCAGCCCCCCGACACAUAAACUACUGCAGCAUAAAUACUGGAGGCUGAGACAGGAGGGGUCAGGAGACACUGUGGCCCCAUCCGAGGACUGACUAUCACUGACUGUAUUAAAAAAGAAAAACAUCCAAUGACAAAUAUAAUUGAUAGUCGAUGAUGUCAAAUCCAAUUCAAAAGCAUGAGAUGGCACGCGCGAGCAAACACUGAGUUAAGAGAGAAGAAAUGUGGUCCAGCGAGAGGAGGAUGGGUCCCCUGCACAGGCCAGUCAAGAGUGCAAUUUAAACUUGCAAGUGUGACUUUGAGCAAGCAAAACAUUAUUGUCACACAUAAAAAUAAAUCUUAAAAAGUACAUAAUAUGUUAAUAAAUGUCUUAUUACUUGUAACAUAGGUUGCGUGUAAGAGAGAGAAUGUUGCUCGCAUGUUGUUUGUCCGUUAGCCCAAGGCUUUGGAAUACAAGUGUGAAUCCUUAGCCCAGGGUUAAAUCAUAGCCCAGCCAGGGUUAACAAUGCUUGUGUGAACAUAGGCUAAGCUAGCCCAGGGACAAGUAUAGCCUGGGGCUAAGAACAAUGCAGUGUGAAAUGGCCUUCAGAGGCUCAUCUCAAGCUCUUUCUAAUACUCAAAUGCAAACAAUCCAGCAUCGUCAGUAUUUGUAUCUGUUUUACUCCACUAACCCCUUCACUCUGCCUCAGUUUCCAGCCAAUGUUUACAUAGACACCCUGCCUACCAACCAAACAUUUGUCACCAAUCAUAACAUUGUUGGGACAGAGUCAUACACAAAUGUAAGACCAUAUUUGCAUGUCAACACCCUCUAACUUUCGUUAUCUAAAAUGUUGUGGUUUUUGUUUUGCAUCAGUUUCACAUUAGUGCUUUUUAUAUAAAGAAAGUAUUAAAUUACUGUGGAGACAAUUUGAGUAUGAAUUUGAAUUUGAACAUGAACUGAAAAUUACAUUUAUAUUCAAACUAUAAAAGUAUUUGCCAAGUCAUAUGUGUCCACUCACCACAUCACUCUGUUCUGUGAAAAGGCUGCUGGUCUCAGUUUCACGCAGACUGUAGUGAUACAGACCAAAUAUAUCGAGAGAUCUCGCACGCAACACACACACCUUAGCACAACAUAUCCAAUUUCCCACCACAUUAUCUCAGGCUCUAUGACCUGUCUGUGUAUGCUAGAGUCCUGUUACACUGGCCUCCAUUCUAAGAAGGUGUCAUGUUAAAGAAAACGAUACAUAUAGUGUUACAUAUAUGAUCUUCUACUGGGAAAACCAGUGUGUAUUCAGCUGACAGACACAUGACAUUCACCUGACGCACCAACCUAUUUAGGUGACCUUUUACCUCAGGCAAUUACGGAAACACUUAUUUGCAAAUGGUAUGCAAAUAGUAUGUCAGCACCUAGCACUCUCUAUUUGUUUGUUUACUCUAUGUCCAGGUUCAUUGAGCUUGCUUUUUCUCUCUCGCACAUGUCAGGGAGAAUUCAGAGGGCAGUGCUAAGUAUGGGAGGUGAGCAAGCGCCUGAAUGCUCAGCUGAAAGAGUCUGAGAAGAGACACCAGGAGGAGAAGGACUGAAUGCAGACUGAAAGCGGUGAGUUCAGCCGGCGUCUUGACAAGCAGUCGAAGCACCUGCAGCGAGUGGAGUGGAGUGGAGGGGUAGGCGGAGGAGCGAGGUCAGAGGUUGGAGGAGUUGGAGCGGCUGCUGGGGGGAAUGGAGCUGGAGGGUGUUGUCCUGAAGGACAAAAUGGCCGACAGCGAGGCUGAACUGCUGUAGCUGAGAGCAGCCAAGGGGGGGGGGGGGGCAGGAGAAAAGGCAGAGGUGAGGAGGAUCUGUCGCCAUAAUGACUACAAAUCAGUCAUACAACUGAAACGUAGACUGUCUGCACAUAGUAUCUCAUAUACAACUCUACAUGAGUAUACAACAAUACAGUCCUCAGCAACAGACAUUGAAACAUUGCUACUCAAGCCUACAACGUUCAUGAAUUGCCAUACUUAUAAAUCCAAAGUUUGAAAAGAGUAUACAGCAUAUUUUUUAAGAUACUAAAAAGGAAACGGUAUACUCCCUUUAAAAUGUGGACCCAUAAAUAUGGCAUGUUCAUACACAGUGUAGAUAUGAUGGUAAUUCUGUUUAUGUAACCACUGGGUUGUGGUGUGAGAACUGAGGAGCUGGAGAAGGAGCUGGCUGUCCUGAAGGAGAAGAUCCAUCAUCUGGACGACAUGCUGAAGAGCCAGCAGAGGAAGAUCUGCCACAUGAUCCAACAGCACACACACACACUCGGAUGCACGUACACGCAUGCGGCAGAUACACACACACACACAUACAGUGCAUUCUGAAAGUAUUCAGACCCUUUGACU